GGGGGUGUAGCUCAGUGGCAGAGCACAUGCUUAGCGUGCAUGAGGCCCCAGGUUCAAUCUCUGGCAUCUCCA